GGUGAGGUAGCGCAGCCUGGCAGCGCGGUGGGCUCAUAACCCACAGGCCGCUGGUUCAAAUCCAGCCCUCACCACCA
rnacentral:tRNA from 1 species